rnacentral:rRNA from 1 species
AGCAGUUAAGUUGAUUUCUUCGGAUUGAUUCUUGACUGACUGAGCGGCGGACGGGUGAGUAACGCGUGGGUGACCUGCCCCAUACCGGGGGAUAACAGCUGGAAACGGCUGCUAAUACCGCAUAAGACCACAGAGCCGCAUGGCUCGGUGGGAAAAACUCCGGUGGUGUGAGAUGGACCCGCGUCUGAUUAGGUAGUUGGUGGGGUAACGGCCUACCAAGCCAACGAUCAGUAGCCGACCUGAGAGGGUGACCGGCCACAUUGGGACUGAGACACGGCCCAAACUCCUACGGGAGGCAGCAGUGGGGAAUAUUGCACAAUGGGGGGAACCCUGAUGCAGCGACGCCGCGUGAGCGAAGAAGUAUUUCGGUAUGUAAAGCUCUAUCAGCAGGGAAGAAAAUGACGGUACCUGACUAAGAAGCACCGGCUAAAUACGUGCCAGCAGCCGCGGUAAUACGUAUGGUGCAAGCGUUAUCCGGAUUUACUGGGUGUAAAGGGAGCGUAGACGGCUGUGUAAGUCUGAAGUGAAAGCCCGGGGCUCAACCCCGGGACUGCUUUGGAAACUAUGCAGCUAGAGUGUCGGAGAGGUAAGUGGAAUUCCCAGUGUAGCGGUGAAAUGCGUAGAUAUUGGGAGGAACACCAGUGGCGAAGGCGGCUUACUGGACGAUGACUGACGUUGAGGCUCGAAAGCGUGGGGAGCAAACAGGAUUAGAUACCCUGGUAGUCCACGCCGUAAACGAUGACUAC